AUGCUCACUUGGGCAGCACAUAUACCAAAAUUGGAAUGGCACAGAGAAGAUUAGCACGGCCCCUUCGCAAGGAUGACAAUCAAAUUCGUGAAGCAUUCCACAGUUUU
rnacentral:snRNA from 1 species